GAUGAAGAACGCAGCGAAAUGCGAUAAGUAGUGUGAAUUGCAGAAUUCAGUGAAUCAUCGAAUCUUUGAACGCACAUUGCGCCUUUUGGUAUUCCUUAGGGCAUGCCUGUUCGAGCGUCAUUUAAACCUUCAAGCUAAGCUUGGUGUUGGGUGACUGUCCGCUUCACGGCGGACUCGCCUCAAAAUUAUUGGCGGCCGGUACAUUGGCUUCGAGCGCAGCAGAAACGCGAACUCGGGCCCGUCGUAUUGGCUCCCAGAAGCUAUCUUCACAAUUUUGACCUCGGAUCAGGUAGGGAUACCCGCUGAACUUAAGCAUAUCAAUAAGCGGAGGA
rnacentral:misc_RNA from 1 species